rnacentral:rRNA from 1 species
CACGAAGAAGACACCGGCUAACUCCGUGCCAGCAGCCGCGGUAAUACGGAGGGUGCGAGCGUUAAUCGGAAUUACUGGGCGUAAAGACGCAUGCAGGCGGCCUGUUAAGUCAGAUGUGAAAGACCCGGGGCGUUAACCUCGGAAUUGCAUUUGAAACUGGCAGGCUAGAGUCUUGUAGAGGGGGGUAGGGAAUUUCUAGGUGUAGCGGUGAAAUAGCGUAGAGAUCUGAAGGAAUACCAGUGGCGAAGGCGGCCCCCUCGGACAAAGACUGACGCUCAGAUGCGAAAGCGUGGGGAGCAAACAGGAUUAGAUACCCUGGUAG